GACGAACGCUGGCGGCGUGCCUAACACAUGCAAGUCGAGCGAGGUUCAACCAGUGGCAACACUGGGGACGACCUAGCGGCGAACGGGUGAGUAACACGUGAGAAACUUGCCCCGGAGUUCGGGAUAACCCGAGGAAACUCGAGCUAAUACCGAAUGCCCUCCUCCGAUCGCAUGAUCGGUUGAGGAAAGAUUUAUCGCUCCGGGAGAGUCUCGCGGCCUAUCAGCUAGUUGGCGGGUAACGCCACAAGGCAUCGACGGUAGCUGGUCUGAGAGGACGAUCAGCCACACUGGGACUGAGACACGGCCCAGACUCCUACGGGAGGCAG
rnacentral:rRNA from 1 species